AGCUUUAGGAAUUAUUUCCUACAUAAUACAAACCAUUCAAAAUCAAAUUCAAGCUCAUAGCUUAAAUAAUUCUUCAUUUAGACAUUUACGCGAAUAACUUGUGGCCAUGACUUUGUAGACUCUUUUGUAGAUUAAUUUCUCCUCAACACACCACCAAAUUUUACUUUACUACAUCUCCUCAUCAACAGAAUUCCAUCCAUGUCUUCACAGAUCAAAACAACACAAUAAAACCAUAUAGAACAGCCCCAACAAUCAAGCCAUAUUAAGAGAGGUUUCUUAAAAAAAAUCAAGAAUAUUUCUAUAGAGGUUUCAACUAUUUCUUAAGAAUUCUAAUGGUAGAAGUUUACAAAGAUCAAAGAGAAGUUAAAUCAUACCUUAUGUGACCAGAAUUACUCAAAAUUCGAAAUUACUUCAAGGCGGAGUCUUGCUAUGAAAAGUGAAACACCGAAGAAUUCACGAUUCCGAAGCUACCAUGGUGUUCUCCAUCUUGAGGAUGACUAAAUUGUUGUUAUGCUUGGCUAGAUGGAUGGGAGAAGUUUGAGAGGAAAUCCCUUGGUUUUUGGUUCUGUUUUGGAGAGGAUAAAACGCAGGGGUUCUGUUUUAAAAAUUGACUUAAAUAAAGAAAUUUUGACUAAACCCGACUAGGCACACUGUUCCCGUAACAGUGUGCACCCCUGUACGAAAAUAUUAAUAUCUCUCUACUCCGAAGUCGUAUUAAUGAAC
rnacentral:lncRNA from 1 species